rnacentral:lncRNA from 1 species
UUCUAUAGUCAUUAUGUCAUUUGCUUUGCUGAAAAUGGAAUUGGAAACAGAAUUUUUGAGUGCACAUACAGGAAUAUUAAUAAAGUCUCAUCGUGGAAUGUACAAUGAGAAAGUGAAAUACAAUAUUCAUUCAAUUAAGGUCUGUAGGCAAAAUAUUGUCCUUUGGGAUAUAGAGAAAACCUGGGAUAUUGAACUGUAUGUCACAGGAAUGAACCUGGGGAAAAAUAUUAUCUAGAAGAAUCUCCUCCACUCUAUGUUGCUAAAUCUUUUCUAGCCAUGCUCAGCCCCUAACUUUGUCCAUUCAGAGCAAGUAACCCCUAAUGAAACAAAGAGAAAUCUCUACCUUUAGAGAGAUGUAGUGUGUAAAGGUUUCCACCCUUAAACAGGAGACUCUCCUGAAAGUGUCACCCUCAAAUUUGGUCAAUGUAAGGAAAGCUGUUUAGCAGGUAGACCAUGGCAGUUUUCAGUGACUUCAUUAGGCCUCGCUGAAAUAACUCUUGUAUCCUGGAAAGCCUUAGCUUCUUCUGUGAUGUCACAAGUGUCCUGACUGCAACCGCCUCUCAGAUAUCCCUUCAGGACCUCUAGGGUUCACUAAUUGGCCUUUAAUGCAUUGUAUACAGCCAUUUGAGAGGGAGAACACAGAGGAUGAAGUGAUCAGACAUGGGGAAUAUGAAGCUGGCCUUCUGUCUUGAACCACGACCCCAUUGAAUUUGUAAAGUAUAUGUGAGUGGCAGGAACAGGACAGAAGGAGGGUUAUCAUGGGAGGAGAAGGAAGAAUGUGCGGAAGAGAAGUUUGAAGGAAGAGGAGGAGACUAGAGGAAAAAAGAGAGAAAGGAAGAUGACAGAUUGAGAAGCCAUGGUAUGUGAAUUUAAGAUUCUGCUCUGUGUAUUUACAGGUCGUUGUUAAUGUUCUUAAGGGAUGUAUGGUACCUGGCUUUGUAUGUUUAAGUGGGCUAUUAUAUCUAAUCAACUGGAUCAAAGAUUAUUGUGUUGUAUGUUUUUUAUGUGAGGGUUUGAGUAUAGGAAAGUGUGUAAUGUCAUGAAACACUGUGCAGCAGGAGAGGGAUUGUGUUUCUGCCAAGAUAUCUAGCAGAGAAUUUCCGACACUUAGGUUCCAGAGUUAGCAGG